UACGGAGGGUGCAAGCGUUAUCCGGAUUCACUGGGUUUAAAGGGUGCGUAGGUGGGCAGGUAAGUCCGUGGUGAAAUCCUAUAGCUUAACUAUAGAACUGCCAUGGAUACUAUUUGUCUUGAAUGUUGUGGAGGUAAGCGGAAUAUGUCAUGUAGCGGUGAAAUGCUUAGAUAUGACAUAGAACACCUAUUGCGAAGGCAGCUUACUACGCAAAUAUUGACACUGAGGCACGAAAGCGUGGGUAGCAAACAGG
rnacentral:rRNA from 2 species